AACGAACGCUGGCGGCAGGCUUAACACAUGCAAGUCGAGCGCCCCGCAAGGGGAGCGGCAGACGGGUGAGUAACGCGUGGGAACGUACCCUUUGCUACGGAAUAGCUCCGGGAAACUGGAAUUAAUACCGUAUGUGCCCUACGGGGGAAAGAUUUAUCGGCAAAGGAUCGGCCCGCGUUGGAUUAGCUAGUUGGUGUGGUAAUGGCCUACCAAGGCGACGAUCCAUAGCUGGUCUGAGAGGAUGAUCAGCCACAUUGGGACUGAGACACGGCCGAAACUCCUACGGGAGGCAGCAGUGGGGAAUAUUGUACAAUGGGCGCAAGCCUUAUCCAGCCAUGCCGCGUGAGUGAUGAAGGCCUUAGGGUUGUAAAGCUCUUUCACCGGAGAAGAUAAUGACGGUAUCCGGAGAAGAAGCCCCGGCUAACUUCGUGCCAGCCGCCGCGGUAAUAC
rnacentral:rRNA from 1 species